GUCGAGGCCGUGGAGGACGGGAGGACAUCCAGAGCUCAGCCCGGUAACAUGUCAUUGCCGGGGCCGCCCAGGGUUCGAGUCAGUCUAGAACAGGGCCUUUUACACAGUCUUUGGGCCAUUUGGCGGUUUUAAGAGGCGAGCGUCACAAGCAGCCCAGGGACAUUGGAGACCAGAUGCCACAAACUGAAAACCUUCGGGCCGGGCAGGUGACUGGCAGGUCCCUCUGGCCCUCCUCUGGACGGUCAGCUCAGCGCUGCAGGCUCCUGUGAGCACCGAGUGCCAGGCGCGGAGCAGUGCCUCACACGUGCUGACUCUCGGCCCAUCUACUGUCCACCCCUCUGGACAGUCCGCCCUGUGUGUGCAGUCUCAGGACUUCAGGUAUUUACCUUGGAUUCAUCCUCAUGAACCAGGCAUCCCCUCCUUACGCUAAGCCUCAGCCCUGCGACUACAGAUGGCCUGCAGCUUCUUUUCAUCAGGGAUGUACAUGAAAGGUUUCAUUUCUUAGAAGCUUCUCUGCUACGACUCCAGAGAAAGCGAUCAUGCCAAGACAUCAGAACUCCCUAGUCAUCACGUGGACUUGAGCAAGACAAGCUCUCAGAUCUUCAUGGGGCAGUCAUAACUAGCCUCCUGUAGGCUGCUCGUGGAGCUGAGGUAGGUGUUUACAGUUACUCCAGCAUGAAAAGGUUGGUGCCUUAGGAACAGAAAAGCAGAUCGUUGAAAAAGAUGAAUCAAUAUAGAAGAUCGUGCCACUUGGAGACAUCUUGGAGGCGGGGUUAUUUUCUUAAGACCCCAUCCUCUGAUUUGACCCAAACCCAGAGGUACUCUCUUCCCAUGGCCCCCAGAGGAACAUACAAACCAGUCUUUCCUUGGUAAUACAUCUGAUGUCACAGCUGUCGUUUUAUAAGCAGCCUUAAGAGUGAUCUUUUGAUUCUCCAUAUAAGUGAAAUAUUGUAUUCAUCUUUCACCAUCUGACUUAUUUCACUCAGCACAAUACCCUCUAGGUGCCCAGUGGGUACUUGAAAUAUUGGGGUGAUCAGUUUGUAAUGUAUAUGAUUGUCUACCACUAUGCUGUACACCUGAAGCUAAUACAAAAUAAUACUGAAUGUAAAGUGCAGUUGAAAAACAAACAUUUCUACCAUGCAAAUGGCAUUUACAUUUGUUUACUAUUAGAAAAAAAAAAAAAGCCACUUUCUUCUGUCCGUGGUGCUGAUCCACCAGCCAUUUGGCCGGCAACCAGAAGAGCUCCAACUUGCUUUGGCCAAUGGGAUUGAAUGUAGGGUUACCUUAAAAGUGAACAUUAAAUAUACAUCACACUUUUUCAGGACGUGUGGUUUGUGCCUAUGCUAAGUUGAAAAAAGUGCAAGCUGGAGAAUUUCCUAGUAAUGCCAGUUACCUCUUAUUUCUUUUAUAUCCUGCAAAUCCAACCCAUAUUUUUUAAAAAUUGAAAAUUGGAAGUGAAAAGGUUGGGUAUGUGUGUAUUGGUGUGCAUAUUUUGGACAUAGCAUAAACAUUUUCAAAUGUGAUAUCUUAAACAAGGUAUAACUAAUUGAAAUAAAUUUCCAUUUCACAAAUUAAAAA